AAUGACUCUCGGCAACGGAUAUCUCGGCUCUCGCAUCGAUGAAGAACGUAGCGAAAUGCGAUACUUGGUGUGAAUUGCAGAAUCCCGUGAACCAUCGAGUCUUUGAACGCAAGUUGCGCCCGAAGCCUUUUGGCCGAGGGCACGUUUGCCUGGGCAU
rnacentral:rRNA from 1 species